ACGCCUGCGGGGCUUAUGUUGCGAACUUCCCUUGUUUGGACCGACGUCCAAGAUGGUGACGGGGAUUCUUCCAAGGGCAUAAGGCGUGGGUGCAGAAUGCCAUGUAUGGAGGCUUGACAGGGGUGUACAGAUGAGCAAUGCCAGUGGAAUUUGGGGACACAGCGGAAUUUAGCUCCAAAAAGGUUGAGCGAGAUCUUUUGAGUUCUCUGACAGCACCCCGGCCGCUUCUCCAUCUCUACCUGCAACCCCGCACUUAAGAAGAGUUUGGAAGGGGCCAAUGUUCCACUUGGAGCCUUCUGUACAAGUGCAUCAAUGCUAAACCAAACAGUCAUCAAGUUCCAGCAGCAGCCUCACAGUGAACACGGCAUCAACAUACAGUGUCAGAAAUGUUUGUAAUUUUAUGACUUUUUUAUAUUAAGCUGGAGGAGUGUAAAUGUGCCAGCUUGGAGGUUACUAAAGCACAGAGUGCCUCCUAUGCAUGGUAUGACACACUUACAUUUCAGAUCACUGCAAGCUCAGUAAAGAAGGUUCCUGUGCGCACCUCAACAAAUCCUGACCACUUUGUGCAUGAGCAUCUCUUCCCCAGGUUCCAUGGAAACUCAGAAACCACAUAUGGCAAGGAAAAUGAGCAGGUGGCCUACACAUGGAUGGAGAGCUGUGGGUUUAUUUUGGAGAGUAGAGGCACAGUAGUGAGUGUCAAGGAGCCAUGUCUUUUUGCAAGCCCCCAGAUGGAGUGUUACACUCAAGAACUUCUAGAAAUCAAAUGUCCUGUUCUGAGUGAGAAGUGUGAGUCUCUGGCAAACUCAUCGACGUGAACCUGGUGGAUGGAGUUCCUCAGCUGCAACAUAAUGGAGCCUGUGGGUACUACAUGCAGGAGCAAUUGGGCAUGUUCUGCACAGGACUGGAGAUAUGCAAACUGCUGUCUGGGCUCUGUCCGAGCUGGUUGUUAUUGAUGUGCCUAUUGAUGUAAAGUUCUGUGCUGAUGUUAUCCCUAAACUGAAGGCAUUCUAUUUCCUACAUAUGCUGCCAAGGGUAGUAUAUGAGAUCCAGUUAGGCAGACUGUGUGCUCAAAAUAUGUUAAUCUAUGUGGUAUCUAGGCUAAUACUGUGUUUUGAAACGGUUCUUGUAUUUUGUGCCUUGUAAAGAUCUCUCUGUUAGCUCUACCUUAUUAUCUAAGCAUAACUCUUGGUGUUUUUUGUUGUCUUGCACAGUUCUCUUCAUAUGCACAUUUACCUGAUUUAUAUUUGCAUAAUUCUUCUUGGUGUUUUUUAUGUCUUGCCUUGUACAACUCUUCAUACAUGUUUAUCUUUUAUUUAUUUAUUUUUAUUUUGCCGUUAUUUUACCAGGUAAGUUGACUGAGAACACGUUCUCAUUUGCAGCAACGACCUGGGGAAUAGUUACAGGGGAGAGGAGGGGGAUGAAUGAGCCAAUUGUAAACUGGGGAUUAUUAGGUGACCAUGAUGGUUUGAGGGCCAGAUUGGGAAUUUAGCCAGGACACCGGGGUUAACACCCCUACUCUUACGAUAAGUGCCAUGGGAUCUUUAAUGACCUCAGAGAGUCAGGACACCCGUUUAACGUCCCAUCCGAAAGACGGCACCCUACACAGGGCAGUGUCCCCAAUCACUGCCCUGGGGCAUUGGGAUAUUUUAUUAGACCAGAGGAAAGAGUGCCUCCUACUGGCCCUCCAACACCACUUCCAGCAGCAUCUGGUCUCCCAUCCAGGGACUGACCAGGACCAACCCUGCUUAGCUUCAGAAGCAAACCAGCAGUGGUAUGCAGGGUGGUAUGCUGCUGGCGGAUAACUCCUUAUGAUUUAUGAAUAUUUUAAUUGUACCUUGUAUAGAUCUUUAUUUUCAUUUGGCGCUUCAUUAACUUAUCUAAGCAUACCGUAACUCAUCUUGCACUUGAGAAAUUAUGGCAUUAAUAAAAACAUUGUGAAAAUGUUCUUUGAUACUUAA